rnacentral:rRNA from 1 species
GAGUUUGAUCCUGGCUCAGAUUGAACGCUGGCGGCAUGCCUUACACAUGCAAGUCGAACGGCAGCACGGGAGCUUGCUCCUGGUGGCGAGUGGCGAACAGGUGAGUAAUGCAUCGGAACGUAUCCUGGAGUGGGGGAUAACGUAGCGAAAGUUACGCUAAUACCGCAUAUUCUGUGAGCAGGAAAGCGGGGGACCUUCGGGCCUCGCGCUCUUGGAGCGGCCGAUGUCGGAUUAGCUAGUUGGUGAGGUAAAGGCUCACCAAGGCGACGAUCCGUAGCAGGUCUGAGAGGAUGAUCUGCCACACUGGAACUGAGACACGGUCCAGACUCCUACGGGAGGCAGCAGUGGGGAAUUUUGGACAAUGGGGGCAACCCUGAUCCAGCCAUGCCGCGUGAGUGAAGAAGGCCUCGGUUGUAAGUACGUCUUUCGUCG